UUCAAAGUUUCCAUCUUCCACGUGGGUGGGCCAUGUGUGUGGACAAAUUUUUUGAAAGUUUUAUCCCUCAAGAGCUCUAGCGUCACCAUCGUAGGGUUUGGGAAUCCUACAAGAAAGUUCCACAAAAUUACCUAGCAAAACCACAAUGCAAAAUUUCCACAGUUUCUCUUUCAAGUCUGGAGGUCUGUCUAGAUCUAAAGAUUUAAAGCUCAAGUACCCGGUGGUUUCUCUACUGGAGCUUGUGUUCCCUUGAAUUUGGUUUCUCAAUUUUCUAAUAAAAUUCUGCCGUUUUUCUCAAAAAAAAAAAAAAAAAAAAAACCACAUGUCCACACCGGAGAUAGUUUGACGCGGCAGGGGCAGAGGUGGCCUAAUUGUCGAGUGGAGGCUGAUUUGUUGUUGGCUGUUGCAGCUACGGUAUCGCUAACCACUCAAGCUGGACCGGUGAUUGAUGACUGAUCGAAGUCCUACUUGCAAGGUUACAGUUGGCAGCGUCAGGGAUCUCAAGAUGGGGAAGAUUCUUGGUGGAGGGCAUGAAACCGGCGGACUUUACUACCUGGAUCGGUGUGGUUCUUUCGGUUUAGUGGCUUCUCACUUGUCUAUCUCACCUUUUCAGCAUCAUUGUUGCCUUGGUCGUCCAUCCCUCUAGUAUUCAAAGUUGUCAGGUCGUGUCGUCAAAUUUAGUCCUUACAAUGUGAAGCAUAACAAUUGGGUAAACACCAUAGGGUGCCUUUUGUCUCUAGGCAUGAUAGUUGUGUUAGUAAUCAUUUUCAUUUAGUUCAUUAUGAUAUUUGGGGUCCAAUAAACACUCCUUCAUUAUUGGGAUUUAGAUAUUUUGUUGAUGAUUAUUCUAGAGUCACCUAUCUUUAUCUUAUGAAAUAGAGGUCUCAAUUGUUCUCAAUUUUCAAAUAAUUUUUUAUGGAAAUAAAGACUCAAUUUAAUGCUUCAUUUCGUAUUUUUCGAUCUGAUAAUGCUCAUGAACGUUUUCAUACAUCUUUGUCUCAAUUUUUUUGAUGACCAUGGUAUUAUUCACCAACUUUCAUGUCCCCAUACUUCACAACAAAAUGAUGUUGCUGAACGCAAAAUGCGUCAUUUGUUAGAGGUCACUCGUGCCUUAUUGUUUCAUAUGCGUGUUCCCAAAUCAUAUUGAAGUGAUUCUAAUCUAACUGCCUGUCACCUGAUUAAUUGCAUGCUAUCCACCAUUCUAGGUGGUUAGAUCCCUUAUACUAUGCUCUCUUUUGAUGCACCUUUGCUUUAUUCACUUCAUAAGAUUUUUGGUUGUGUAUACUAUGUUCAUAUCUUAGGUUCAGAGAGUGAUAAAUUUGAUACUAGAUCAAUCAAAUGUGUUUUUCUUGGGUAUUCUUGUGCUCAUAAGGGAUACCAAUGUUACUUACCUACUCUUCGUCAUCGUUUCAUUAGUGCUGAUGUUGUAUUUGAUGAGUCUCAAUCCCAUUUUCUCCUACGAUUAGUAGUGACAGUUCUUCUACUUGUUUUCCUCGCUUAUCACCGGCUCCACUUGUGUCUCCUACUGCAUCUCCUCCUUAGAAACCACUGCAGGUGUAUUGUCAUUGGUAGAAACCUCCAACAGAGACCUCUUCCUUGCCCAGUGAUCUACCUCCAAUUCUCUUCCAAUUAUUCUAUGCAAAGAAAUGGCCCUACACUAUGGGAAUGGGAAAUGCCCAACAAAUAUAAAGGCUAAUGCAAAAAGGUAGCAACUAUGAGUCUACGAGUGCACAUAGGUUACUCACAGCCAAAGAAAAAGAGGAAAAGCUAUAGCAAAAGAUAUUUCUGUGAUUGCACAUGGGUAUAUGAUUGCACUUAAGAAAAAGAGAAAAGAUAUAAGAAAAGUUAUUUCUAUUUGUAAUUUUUUUUUCCGUAGUUUUUUAAACUUCCCUCUAUUGGGCGUGUAUAUAUAUAUAUAUAUAUAUAUAUAUAUUCUUUUUUUUUUGGUAAGCUGCUAGACAUAUCUUACUUGUACAGUUGUACAUAGGUUGAUGCAUAAAUAUUUGUUCCAUGUCUUCUAGGUAAAGAAAAUGUUAUUCAAUGAACUAAGUUUAUUUGUUAAUAAACCAUUUUAAGAAAGUUGUUCUAAAAAAAUAAAAAAUGUUUUGACAAUUUUUUUUUAAUUUUUCAUAAAAAUUAUGUUAAAAUUUUUUAAAAAUAAUUUAUUAAAAAUGCCCUAAGAACACUCAUUAACAUACAUGACAUUUUAGAUAAUUGAUAUUCGUCCUUGCAAGGACAAUUGGGAAUCAUCAUGCCAUUCUCAAUGCCACAUUUCCACAUAAUUUUUUUUUAUUUUUAUUUUUUGUUUUUUGUUUUGGGGACAUUUCCAGUCUUUUUUAUUUUUAUUUAAUUUUUUUUUUAUGAGAAUAACUUUCAUUAGAGCUGAAAUCCGGUGCACAUACUGUCUCUCCACGAUAAGGUUCUUCAGUUUUGGCAUGACUUUAUUGUUUUUUUUUUUUUGGUUAAAAGGAAAUAUUAUUCAACUAGGCCAAAAUGGCUAAAUUAGAGGCAGUAAGCAUACAAAAUGACUUUAUUAUUUCUAUUCAUGAUAAGGUUCUUCAGUUUCGGCAUGACUUUAUUAUUUCUAUAUAAUUAAACAGAAUUUUGUGAUCUCAUUAGUCAUUAUCCCAUAAAGCUUUUCACGAUACGGUGAUAUCAUCUCUUACUGAUAUUGAUGAAAUUACAUCCUUGUACUUUUCAUCUUAUGUUCUUCAUAAUUCAUAUACCCCUUAUUAAUUACUAUAAUCAAUAUUAUUUCCCCAGGUUGUUUUGCUACAACUAAAUACGUAGUAAAUAGUUGCACGCUUCUUUCCACUAGGAGUUAUGCUCAAUUGGUUUCUCUUCAGAUUGGAAAAUUUGCUCAAAGAAUGAAUGGCUAGGGAUCUUCAAGCCAAUUCGCUAUCUUGUUACAUCUUCCACGACAGGUCGUGAAUGCAACUCUCAUGUGAUGACCUACGGUAUGGAUUUAAUUACAGUUCCAUAUUAACUCUUCAAGUCUUUUUCUAGUUUAUAGCUCAUAAUCCUUGUUCUAAGUUCUAAUUAACCCACAAGAAAAAGUGUGUCAGACACUUUCCCAUUUCAUAACAUAUCCUCCUUACCUUAAUCAAUAGUUUUAGAUUAGGCUUUUUAUUUUUAUUUUUUUAUGUAAGUCUUACAU